CGGACGGGUGAGUAGCGCGUGGGUAACCUACCCUGUACACACGGAUAACAUACCGAAAGGUAUGCUAAUACGGGAUAAUAUAUUUGAGAGGCAUCUCUUGAAUAUCAAAGGUGAGCCAGUACAGGAUGGACCCGCGUCUGAUUAGCUAGUUGGUAAGGUAACGGCUUACCAAGGCGACGAUCAGUAGCCGACCUGAGAGGGUGAUCGGCCACAUUGGAACUGAGACACGGUCCAA
rnacentral:rRNA from 1 species